rnacentral:rRNA from 1 species
AACGAACGCUGGCGGCAUGCCUAACACAUGCAAGUCGAACGAGACCUUCGGGUCUAGUGGCGCACGGGUGCGUAACGCGUGGUAACCUGCCCUUAGGUUCGGAAUAACUCCCCGAAAGGUGUGCUAAUACCGGAUAAUGUCUUCGGACCAAAGAUUUAUCGCCUUUGGAUGGGGCCGCGUUGGAUUAGCUAGUUGGUAGGGUAAAAGCCUACCAAGGCGACGAUCCAUAGCUGGUCUGAGAGGAUGAUCAGCCACGCUGGGACUGAGACACGGCCUAGACUCCUACGGGAGGCAGCAGUGGGGAAUAUUGGACACUGGGCGAAAGCCUGAUACAGCAAUGCCGCGUGAGUGAUGAAGGCCUUAGGGUUGUAAAGCUCUUUUACCCGGGAUGAUAAUGACAGUACCGGGAGAAUAAGCUCCGGCUAACUCCGUG